rnacentral:rRNA from 1 species
GACGGCCGUACCAUGCUGAAUAUACCGGCUCUCGUUAGAUCACCGAAGUCAAGCAUCAUUGGGCGCGGUCAGUACUUGGGUGGGUGACCACCUGGGAACACCGCGUGCCGUU